UUUCGCAAUGCCCGAAAGGGUGACGAAGCGACGCCGCGUGUGGGAAGAAGGCCUUCGGGUUGUAAACCGCUGUCGGGAGUUAGGAAGUGCAAGGAUGUUAAUAGCGUUCUUGCUUGACUAAGGCUCCGGAGGAAGCCACGGCUAACUCUGUGCCAGCAGCCGCGGUAAUACAGAGGCGGCAAGCGUUGUUCGGAAUUAUUGGGCGUAAAGAGCACGUAGGCGGCUGUGUAAGUCGGUUGUGAAAGCCUUCCGCUUAACGGAAGAACGGCAUCCGAUACUGCAUAGCUUGAGUGCGGGAGGGGAGAGUGGAACUUCUGGUGGAGCGGUGAAAUGCGUAGAUAUCAGAAGGAACACCGGCGGCGAAGGCGACUCUCUGGUCCGUAACUGACGCUGAGUGUGCGAAAGCUAGGGGAGCAAACGGGAUUAGAUACCCCGGUAGUCCUAGCCGUAAACGAUGGGCACUAAGUAGAGGGGUUUU
rnacentral:rRNA from 2 species